UCGUAAAACCAUCUUAGAAAUUAGUGUUUUUAUUUUUAAACUCUUUGUCUCCCCUCUCGUGUUUCUCACUGUCUUCCUCUCUUUGUUUCUUACUCUUCCUCUCACUCUCUAACUCUUUCCUUCUCACUCUCCACUGCCAACGCCACUACCACCGCCAUCGUCACCGCCUCAUGUUCAACCUUAACCUCAACCUCAGUAAGAACAACAACCAUAAUAGCAGACACAGCAAGGGAUGGUUCCAUCACAGGCGUCGUCAUCGUUUCAGAUACUAUCUUUGCUUGUGUCGUUGGGGUGUUUGAAUUUGUUGCUGGCAUCCUACCCUAUGCUGUCGUCGGGGCUUCUAUUUUCCCCAACCUCCUGUCAGUUAGGGUUUCCACAGCUUUUGCUUUCGCCCACUGUGCCGCUUCCGCUUUCACUUCCACUUUUGCAACAACACAAAAGCACUUGCUCUCAUCUUCAAUGGACAAAACUGUGCGGCUGUGGCAUCUAUCCAACAAGUCUUGUUUGAAAACAUUUUCACACAAUGACUAUGGUGAGUAAAUUCAAUGAUUACAUGUUGCAGUGCUCUUGUCUUUGCUCUCCCAUAAUCUAAGUAGAAGUCAUAUGGGAUACUUAUGAUAAAAUGACGGAACACUCUUACACUUUUAUUUAUUUUUACUCUUUAUCCAUAUUUCUUCUGCUUCUUCCCUACCAAAAAUUGAAUUAGAUUCCGAGUUCAUCCUAUCCCUAUUCAAUAUACUUCAAUAUACAUCCCGUCUUUGAGGAUUGGACAA